rnacentral:rRNA from 1 species
GGACCCUACGGGAGGCAGCAGUAGGGAAUCUUCCACAAUGGACGAAAGUCUGAUGGAGCAACGCCGCGUGCGGGAUGAAGGCUUUCGGGUUGUAAACAGCUUUCAGCAGGGAUGACUUCGACAGUACAUGCAGAAGAAGCCCCGGCUAACUACGUGCCAGCAGCAGCGGUAAUACGUAGGGGGCGAGCGUUAUCCGGAUUCAUUGGGCGUAAAGCGCGCGCAGGCGGACUCAUAAGCGGAGCCUUUAAUCUUGGGGCUUAACCUCAAGUCGGGCCCCGAACUGUGAGUCUCGAGUGUGGUAGGGG